CUGCUCGCUCCGUCCUGGACCACACUGCUCUCUCAUCCCGAUGAUGCUGAUCUGACUUUGCAGUUCCCGCAAAUACCUGGACAUCUGGCUGGAGGGCAGCCUCAUCCUGCCAGUAUUGCAGUUUUGGGGCGCUGGGCUUGCCAUCAUGGUGCAAGACAUUGCAAGGAGACCCCUGAGGCUGUGUCUUUUACUCUUGCCUGUGUCUUGAGAAAAGCGGAAAGGACAGCGACGGGGGGAAGAGUGCAAUCUGCUCUUGAUGUGUCCUACGCAGGGUUUUUAAGAGGUAGGAAGGAGGGGAGUUUCACUCCAUCUGCCCUUGAGCUGAUGGUUAUUGCAAUCUCAGCCCUUCACUCCUCAGAGGUGCCCGGACCCCCGCUGGACGCUAUCGUCCCCAUCCGACUUUUCCCCGCUCCACUUCCAGUGGGGAACUUCCUGCUCCGCUCCCUCCACAGCCCAAUUAGCUGUUUGCUUAACGUACUGCAAACCUCACUUGAUAAGUUUGCCUAAUUGCUUCACUUAAGUUAAUUACUUCUUGGCUGAACAAGAAAGCAACAUAAUUGAUGUCAAGGCAUAUUUGUCACUUCGAUUAAUGUCCUGGGAGCGGGGAGCUUCGUGCUCUCCCCUUGCCCUUCCUGCCCGCCGCCAGCCCCGGGUACCAGGUCAGGGAUCGGAUCUGCUCCCUGCAGCUCCCGCGCAUUGUGGGAGAGCGGAGGCAGGUGCUGAGCCCCGCGACUUAGCCCUGCCAAGUGCGUUUUUCCCUCUUGAAGCACUGGGAUAACACGCGGAGGAUUUGCUGGGCUGUGCGAGCGGCAGUGGGACAGGAAUGACCGAUGGGGAGGCGGUGGGAGAUGCACUGGUGGGGAGCCCACGUCCCUCCAAAAGCCGCAGACGGCUCUCGGCGCGUGCGGAGCCCUUUGCUGGCACUGCCUUGGGUCUUCCCAUGUGCUCGCAAUCCCAGGGGACCCCGGCAGUGUCUUGUCUCUUUGGGGAGAGGCGAUGAAGGACGUGAACAGCCACGUGGGCUUAAUAAGAGUCUGUCUUUGAACUAGCCCAAGAAAUGCAUACAAACCAGACCAUUCCCCAUGGAAAAUCAGGGGUUUGGGGACAAGUGGCUCUGUAGGAGCAGGCUGCAAUACGCAGGCAAUGCUUCCUCCUUCCCCCUCCCUCCAGCUGGCCCUGGGAGCAGGUAGCAGCUUCCAGAUACCCGUGAUAAAUCCCUUUACGCAGCAUUGCCUUCCUUGCUGACGCGUGGAGCAGGAGAGGUGACGGCUAAGGUGGUACCCAGUGCCUCAGUAAGGCGGGCGAUUACCCGUGCUGCGGGCAUCGGACACCUCCUGCAUUAACCUGUUGAUGGGGAAAGAGAUACCUGCAUGGCUCCUGCACGGCUCCAGCCCGGCCUGGAUGGAGAGCAGCUGAACGGCAUCCCCGGGAGAGUCACCUGCCGGAUCCAGAUCAUACCCCUGCAAGACUUAAAACGGCCUCCGCUCUGGCUGCACGCAAGCUAGCA
rnacentral:lncRNA from 1 species